UACGGGGGGGGCAAGCGUUGUUCGGAAUUACUGGGCGUAAAGGGCGCGUAGGCGGCCUGCUAAGUCGGACGUGAAAUCCCUCGGCUCAACCGAGGAACUGCGUCCGAUACUGACAGGCUUGAAUCCGGGAGAGGGAUGCGGAAUUCCAGGUGUAGCGGUGAAAUGCGUAGAUAUCGGGAGGAACACCAGUGGCGAAGGCGACUACCUGGCCUGUUCUUGACGCUGAGGCGCGAAAGCUAGGGGAGCAAACGGG
rnacentral:rRNA from 1 species